AGUGAACGCUGGCGGUAGGCCUAACACAUGCAAGUCGAACGGCAGCACAGUAAGAGCUUGCUCUUACGGGUGGCGAGUGGCGGACGGGUGAGGAAUACAUCGGAAUCUACUUUUUCGUGGGGGAUAACGUAGGGAAACUUACGCUAAUACCGCAUACGACCUACGGGUGAAAGCAGGGGAUCUUCGGACCUUGCGCGAUUGAAUGAGCCGAUGUCGGAUUAGCUAGUUGGCGGGGUAAAGGCCCACCAAGGCGACGAUCCGUAGCUGGUCUGAGAGGAUGAUCAGCCACACUGGAACUGGGACACGGUCCAGACUCCUACGGGAGGCAGCAGUGGGGAAUAUUGGACAAUGGGCGCAAGCCUGAUCCAGCCAUACCGCGUGGGUGAAGAAGGCCUUCGGGUUGUAAAGCCCUUUUGUUGGGAAAGAAAAGCAGCAGGUUAAUACCCCGCUGUUCUGGCGGUACCCAAAGAAUAAGCACCGGCUAACUUCGUG
rnacentral:rRNA from 1 species